GAUGAACGCUAGCGGCAGGCUUAACACAUGCAAGUCGAGGGGUAGAAGUUGCUUGCAACUUUGAGACCGGCGCACGGGUGCGUAACGCGUAUGCAAUCUACCUUAUACAGAGGGAUAGCCCAGAGAAAUUUGGAUUAAUACCUCAUAGUAUAAUUGAAUGGCAUCAUUUAAUUAUUAAAGUUCCAACGGUAUAAGAUGAGCAUGCGUCCUAUUAGCUAGAUGGUAAGGUAACGGCUUACCAUGGCAACGAUAGGUAGGGGUCCUGAGAGGGAGAUCCCCCACACUGGAACUGAGACACGGACCAGACUCCUACGGGAGGCAGCAGUGAGGAAUAUUGGACAAUGGGCGCAAGCCUGAUCCAGCCAUGCCGCGUGCAGGAAGAAGCAUCUAUGGUGUGUAAACUGCUUUUGUACGGGAAGAAACACCCCUUCGUGAAGGGACUUGACGGUACCGUAAGAAUAAGGAUCGGCCAACUCCGUGCCAGCCGCCGCUGUAAAAC
rnacentral:rRNA from 1 species